rnacentral:rRNA from 1 species
GCGUAAUGGCGGGAACUCUAAGGAGACUGCCGGUGAUAAACCGGAGGAAGGUGGGGAUGACGUCAAGUCAUCAUGGCCCUUAUGGGCUGGGCUACACACGUGCUACAAUGGGCUGUACAGAGGGUCGCCAACCCGCGAGGGGGAGCCAAUCCCAGAAAGCAGCUCUUAGUCCGGAUUGCAGUCUGCAACUCGACUGCAUGAAGUUGGAAUGGCUAGUAAUCGCAGAUCACCACUGCUGCGGUGAAUACGUUCCCGGCCCUUGUACACACCGCCCGUCACACCAUGGGAGUGGGUUGCAAAAGAAGUGGCUAGUCUAACCUUCGGGAGGACGGUCACCACUUUGUGAUUCAUG